rnacentral:rRNA from 1 species
CGAUCUUCGGAUUGUAGCUUAGCGGCGAACGGGUGAGUAACACGUAGGUAAUCUACCCUUCAGAGGAGGACAACCUCAGGAAACUGAGGCUAAACCUUCAUACGUUCACUGGUAGGGAUACUGGUGAAGAAAGAGUUACCUUAGUGGUAGCUGCUGAGGGAUGAGCCUGCGGCCCAUCAGGUAGUUGGUGAGGUAACGGCUCACCAAGCCGAAGACGGGUAACCGGUCUGAGAGGAUGUCCGGUCACACUGGGACUGAGACACGGCCCAGACUCCUACGGGAGGCAGCAGCAGGGAAUCUUGGGCAAUGGGCGAAAGCCUGACCCAGCGACGCCGCGUGGAGGAAGAAGUCCUUCGGGGCGUAAACUCCUGGACUGGGGGACGAGGAAGGACGGUACCCCAGUAGAAAGGGACGGCUAACUACGUGCCAGCAGCCGCGGUAAAACGUAGGUCCCGAGCGUUGUUCGGAUUCACUGGGUGUAAAGGGCGCGUAGGUGGUUGUCUGUGUCUCAUGUGAAAACUCAGGGCUCAACUCUGAGAUUGCGUGGGAAACUAGGCAGCUAGAGGACGGUAGAGGGGAGUGGAAUUCCCGGUGUAGCGGUAAAAUGCGUAGAUAUCGGGAGGAACACCGGUGGCGAAGGCGGCUCUCUGGGCCGAUCCUGACGCUGAGGCGCGAAAGCUAGGGGAGCGAACCGGAUUAGAUACCCGGGUAGUCCUAGCCGUAAACGAUGGGUGCUAGG